rnacentral:rRNA from 1 species
AGAGUUUGAUCCUGGCUCAGGAUGAACGCUAGCGGCAGGCUUAACACAUGCAAGUCGAGGGGCAGCAUAAUGGAUAGCAAUAUCUAUGGUGGCGACCGGCGCACGGGUGCGUAACGCGUAUGCAACCUACCUUUAACAGGGGGAUAACACUGAGAAAUUGGUACUAAUACCCCAUAAUAUCAUAGAAGGCAUCUUUUAUGGUUGAAAAUUCCGAUGGUUAGAGAUGGGGCAUGCGUUGUAUUAGCUAGUUGGUGGGGUAACGGCUCACCAAGGCGACGAUACAUUAGGGGGGACUGAGAGGUUAACCCCCCACACUGGUACUGAGACACGGACCAGACUCCUACGGGAGGCA